UGCCAGACUCCUACGGGAGGCAGCAGUGGGGGAUAUUGCACAAUGGGGGAAACCCUGAUGCAGCGACGCCGCGUGGGUGAAGAAGCGCCUCGGCGCGUAAAGCCCUGUCAGCAGGGAAGAAAAUGACGGUACCUGAAGAAGAAGCCCCGGCUAACUACGUGCCAGCAGCCGCGGUAAUACGUAGGGGGCAAGCGUUAUCCGGAUUCACUGGGUGUAAAGGGAGCGUAGACGGCGACGCAAGUCUGGAGUGAAAGCCCGGGGCCCAACCCCGGGACUGCUCUGGAAACUGCGUCGCUGGAGUACGGGAGGGGCAGGCGGAAUUCCUGGUGUAGCGGUGAAAUGCGUAGAUAUCUGGAGGAACAUCAGUGGCGAAGGCGACUAUCUGGCACAUAACUGACGCUGAGGAGCGAAAGCGUGGGUAGCAAACAGGAUUAGAUACCCGUGUAA
rnacentral:rRNA from 1 species